CGAACGCUGGCGGCGUGCCUAAUACAUGCAAGUAGAACGCUGAAGGAGGAGCUUGCUUCUCUGGAUGAGUUGCGAACGGGUGAGUAACGCGUAGGUAACCUGCCUGGUAGCGGGGGAUAACUAUUGGAAACGAUAGCUAAUACCGCAUAAUAGUAGAUGUUGCAUGACAUUUGCUUAAAAGGUGCAAUUGCAUCACUACCAGAUGGACCUGCGUUGUAUUAGCUAGUUGGUGGGGUAACGGCUCACCAAGGCGACGAUACAUAGCCGACCUGAGAGGGUGAUCGGCCACACUGGGACUGAGACACGGCCCAGACUCCUACGGGAGGCAGCAGUAGGGAAUCUUCGGCAAUGGACGGAAGUCUGACCGAGCAACGCCGCGUGAGUGAAGAAGGUUUUCGGAUCGUAAAGCUCUGUUGUAAGAGAAGAACGAGUGUGAGAGUGGAAAGUUCACACUGUGACGGUAUCUUACCAGAAAGGGACGGCUAACUACGUG
rnacentral:rRNA from 1 species